GGUCGCCAACGAGUGGCGGACGGGUGAGUAACACGUAGGUAACCUGCCCAGAAGCGGGGGACAACAUUUGGAAACAGAUGCUAAUACCGCAUAACAGCGUUGUUCGCAUGAACAACGCUUAAAAGAUGGCUUCUCGCUAUCACUUCUGGAUGGACCUGCGGUGCAUUAGCUUGUUGGUGGGGUAACGGCCUACCAAGGCGAUGAUGCAUAGCCGAGUUGAGAGACUGAUCGGCCACAAUGGGACUGAGACACGGCCCAUACUCCUACGGGAGGCAGCAGUAGGGAAUCUUCCACAAUGGGCGCAAGCCUGAUGGAGCAACACCGCGUGAGUGAAGAAGGGUUUCGGCUCGUAAAGCUCUGUUGUUAAAGAAGAACACGUAUGAGAGUAACUGUUCAUACGUUGACGGUAUUUAACCAGAAAGUCACGGCUAACUACGUGCCAGCAGCCGCGGUAAUACGUAGGUGGCAAGCGUUAUCCGGAUUUAUUG
rnacentral:rRNA from 2 species